rnacentral:rRNA from 1 species
AGAGUUUGAUCCUGGCUCAGAGUGAACGCUGGCGGCGUGCUUAACACAUGCAAGUCGAGCGAUGAAGCAACUGCUUGCAGUUGUGGAUUAGUGGCGCACGGGUGAGUAAUGGAUAGGUAACCUGCCUCAUAGUCUGGGACAACAGUUGGAAACGACUGCUAAUACCGGAUAUUCCCUACGGGGGAAAGAUUUAUUGCUAUGAGAUGGGCCUAUCUCCUAUCAGCUAGUUGGUAAGGUAACGGCUUACCAAGGCUACGACGGGUAGCUGGUCUUAGAGGACGAUCAGCCACACUGGAACUGAGACACGGUCCAGACUCCUACGGGAGGCAGCAGUGGGGAAUAUUGCACAAUGGGGGAAACCCUGAUGCAGCAACGCCGCGUGGAGGAUGACGCAUUUCGGUGUGUAAACUCCUUUUAUCAAGGAAGAAAUUUGACGGUACUGAUAAA